rnacentral:rRNA from 1 species
GUCUAUAUCCACGCCACCCCGAACAAGCCCAAUCUUAUCUGAUCUAUGAAGCUAAGCAGGGUCGGGCCUGGUUAGUACUUGAAUGGGAGACCACCUAGGAAUACCAGGUGCUGUAGACG